rnacentral:lncRNA from 1 species
ACAGUUAUCUUUGUACUAGUUUUUCGGCACAUGUGUGCUUCAUCAUGGAGUAAACAGUUUGUAAAAUAAAAUUGAUACAGCUAAAGCAGAAGUUUUGAGUAAAUAAUUAUACAUGAAGAACAAAAUAAAUAAAUAAAAACUCUCAUCAAUGUGAAGCUCAACGCAACAAAGUAGUCUUCGAACAAUAACAAUUCUUCUGAUAUAUAAUAUUUAGCUUGAUCACUAUUUCCUUGAUGUCUCAAAGUUUCUGCCAUGUUUUAAGAAAUUGUAGCCUCCCAAAUCCGUAUCUAAAAAUCUCGGUGGACAAGCACAUUAGCUUAUAAUGAGAAAGAACAACAACAACAUAAAUGCAUUGAAUUGUUUAAUUAAGUGAGAAAAAUAAUCCAUAACUUAAUCUAUGAAAUAGCUAGCGUAGAGUGAAAUCUUUUCAAUAGUCACGCUUACAAACAGAAAUAUCAGUUACAACUUAUCCUUCAAGUCUAUCUUGGAAGAAGUGUGAAGUAAAUAAAGGAAAACGAUUUAAAAAUUUAUUUUCACUCAUCAUAUGCUUGACGUUCUCCAAUGUUUAAUCUAUAGAUUCCUAAGGAUAUUUCCUAUCUAGUAGCGCAGAGACGUAUUCAAUGUAUUCGUCUUUUUGCUUCGCUAACUUUUAAAUCUCAAUUGGACCAUAGAAAAAGAGAAAAAAGUAACUCUAACCUCAUAGAAGUAAUUCUGACAGUGAGAUCCCAAAGUGUGACAUAUGUUAGAAAAACUAUCAAUCAUUAAUAGAUGAACUGAACACAAGUCAUGCCAUAAAAAUAUGGUUGAACAUUGUAUCACAUUGACUUCAGAAAUUAAGGUUCCAACUAACAAUCUUACGUGCAUAUCUGUGAUUUUAAAAUAUUCACUUGGAUGCUUGAAAAAGGAAUAAAUACUAUUAUAUCAAAUGCAAAAAUGAAGAGGUCAAACACAGGAUUUUUCGUUUACGAAUUAUAAGCUCUGAAGAAGUCAUCUUAGAGUUUCUUCCCCUGUUAUCCCUUCAAAUUUUUAUCUUUCAUCUUCAAUAUGUCAAUAUAACUCCAUGGUAUUUCUCAGUUGUCAUCUCCAAUUCCAAUUGAAAUCCAAGUGAGAUUCUAAAGUCUAGUGUUAUCUUUCUCAUAAAUUAAUGGGUAUUACUUUUUUCAUAAUUAGCACAGAGUACCAGACAUAAAAUUUGUUCCUUUCCUUCUGCUUUCACGUAAAGAAAAAAAACAAUUAAUAUCUUCCUCCACUAAGCAGUCAAAUCUUUCACGAAACUCAAGCAAAUCACACUGGUCUCACUACAACAAAGAAUUACAGAACAAAGAAAUCAAAAGAAUGACAACAAAGCUUAAUUAUUGAAAAUUCCUAGACCUUACCCUCAUCUCAAUUUCCAUUUCUUCCGCAGUCUCUGCAUCCUCACCAUGUAUUCCAUCAUAUAGAGUCCUCAACAUCAUAAGCCAAAAACAGAUUGAAGUAUACUUUCUGUCAGUGGGCCAAGUAAGUCCGUUGACAAAAGGUUGUCUCUAUCUAACUAUCAUCGUCAAAUUACAUAUAUUACGAAAUUACAGUUUUUAAUACAGGAUAAACCAUGUCGUAUUAAACAGCAUGAUGUAUAACAUAAUUUUGAAAAAUAAAAAACUUACCUCUAGUUGGCUGGUACAUAUCUUCUCAUGAAUGUUAGGAUGAUUUAUGCCACGAUAUGGAACUCAUCUCUUUCACUUCCUUUCAUGUUACUGAAUCUCUUGGUAUUGUCUUACCAACAGAUAUUACUCUCAAGGCAUGCCGAGAAACCAGUUCUAUGGUGGGCUGGUGAACACAAACAUGAUCGUGCACUCUUCAAGCCUUCCAUCUUGAGCCCAUAACAUGGCGUCUCAAUGUUCAACUAUAUUCUAGUCCCUGCAAACAUAUGUAGAGGCUUCCUAAUCAAAAUUGAAACAGAAGUUGACAGUAUAAAAGUAGUAAUAAGCGAUAAUAGAAGAACAAAAUAAGUGAAUGAGAAAAUUUCCUUUGGAGGUAUAACUACAG